rnacentral:miRNA from 1 species
UCUGGUGUAUAGCGUUGCUCA